rnacentral:tRNA from 1 species
GAAAAACUAGUUAAAUCUAUAACAUAAGAUCGUCAUUCUUAAAUUACCAAAGUGUUUUUUG